rnacentral:rRNA from 1 species
UACGGAGGGGACUAGCGUUGUUCGGAAUUACUGGGCGUAAAGCGCGCGUAGGCGGAUUUGCAAGUCGGGGGUGAAAUCCCGAGGCUCAACCUCAGAACUGCCUUCGAUACUGCAAAUCUCGAGUCCGGAAGAGGUGAGUGGAAUUCCUAGUGUAGAGGUGAAAUUCGUAGAUAUUAGGAAGAACACCAGUGGCGAAGGCGGCUCACUGGUCCGGUACUGACGCUGAGGCGCGAAAGCGUGGGGAGCAAACAGG